UUGGCUGCUGCUCAAGUGAGUAAAAGAGGAGGCUGCCACCCCCUCAAUGCAAAAUUGGAUGGUGUUCAAAACUGAAGACUGUGUGAAGGUAAAGCUAUGAACAUUUAUUGUGUGUGUGUGUGUGUGUGUA
rnacentral:lncRNA from 1 species